CCAGGACACAGAGGGAUGUGGAGGAGGGAAUCUGGAAGAAGAUACAGGCCCUAAGGAUUCAUUUCCAGUAACCCAGUCAGGUCCCAUGUUGCAGCUUCUACCACCUGCUAAAGAGUACAUCCGAUUAUAACUCUGUCAGUGGGUUAACCCGUUGAUUAGGUCAGAGCCCUCCUGAUCCUAUUGCCUCUUCACGAUUAAUUUGCUGGUUGGAGACCAAGCCUUCGGGAUACUUCAUACCCAAAACAGAACAGCUGAGCUGCUGGUUCAUAUUUACUGGAAUGGGUCAGCUAUAGAGCAGCUACCAGAAGCUGGGAGCAGAACCCAGAGGAAUGCAUCACCAAGACCCUCCAGUCCUGUGGUUCUCACCCUUCCUAAUGCUGUGACCCUUUAAUACAGUUCCUCAUGUUGUGGUGACCCCAACCAUAGAAUUACUAAGUUGUUCUUCAUAACUGUAACUUUGCUGCUAUUAUGCAUCAUAAUGUAAAUAUCUGAUAUGUGAUUCCAAAUGGGUCCUGACCCACAGGUUAAGAACUGCUGCCCUAGUGCCUUUGCAAUGCCGGGAUGCCAUGAACUCUGACUGUUCUUCAGUCUCACAUGUGAUCAAGUGUGCAGGAAUCUGGGCCCUCUGAAGGACAGACACUCAUGACCCUAGUCAGUCUCUGUCAGGGGGGUUUAAAGAACAGUGACUGAAUGUCAGUGCUGGGGUUGGAAUGAGCAAAGGGGAUUGGUGGAGGCCUGCAAAGUAGCUCAGCAGGCAAAGGUACUUUCUGUCUGAUGAAGCAAGCCUGAAAACCUGAGUUCAAUCCCAGAACUCAUGUAAAAGGAGAAAGGGGAAAACCAAUUCCAGAACCUCCACACAAAUGUACGGCCCACGUGCUUCCCCCUUUCCUGUAUCACACACACACACACACACACACACACACACACACACACACAUGCUAAUAAUAAAUUAAUUAAAUAAAUUUAAAAUAAAAACUUUUUUAAAAGUAGAAGUUGGUCUGUAGAGAACAGGAGA
rnacentral:lncRNA from 1 species